rnacentral:rRNA from 1 species
AUGGAAAUUGAAAAUAUACUAGAAAAGGAGGAAGUAUAUUGGCUGCAACGCUACUGUGCAAAUUGGCUUAGGAAUGGAGACUGUAAUACUAAUUUCUUUCAGAAUUUUGCUUCGGCCAGGAAGAAAUGGAACUUUAUUAAAUGGUUAAAGGGUGAUGAUGGUAACUGGCGUGAAGGUAAUGAUGAAUUGGGGAGUCUCAUUUCCUCUUAUUUUACUAAUCUGUUCAGUGCGGAUGUGUCUGAUCCAGAUAUGGAGGUUAUCAAUAAAGUGAAUCCGAGGGUUACAAGGUAUAUGAAUGAGUCAUUAACAGCUCCAUACACCGCAGAAGAAGUAAAAAAAAACUCUGUUUAG